AGCUGAGCAGUACGGAGGUCUUCAGCUCAUUUGUGUGGGGAGCUGUGGCCUACACACGCUACACAAUGCUUUCAAGUGUGGGUUCACUGCAUGGCUGCUGGACAAGUUGCUGAGAGCAAUGCACACAUUGUUUAACAAUGUGCCUGCCAGGAGAGAGGAUUACGUCACCGUAACCAAGUCCAGUGUGUUACCCCUUUCUUUCUGUGCCCAUCUUUGGGUAGAAAACCUUCCGGUUGUGGAGAGAGCCCUGGUAGUCUGGCCAUCACUUCUUCUGUACAUGGAAGCUGUGAAAACAAAAAAACUCCCUAACCCUGGAACAGGAUCUUAUGACACAGUUGCAGCAGCCAUAAAGGAUCCACUAAUUCUGGCCAAAUUUCACUUCUACGCAGCACUUGCCAGGACCUUCACGCCCUUCCUAACAAAAUAUCAAACAGACGAGCCGGUGCUCCCAUUCCUCUCCAAGGACCUGACCGAAUUGAUGAUAGGGAUGUCAUACUGCAGCAGUUUGACAGUCUCCUGUCCUUGGAGAGCCGGAGUGAGGACUUCCUCUACUUUGCUCCCAUGCAGAAGAGGCUGGACAUCUUCCUGAGCAGUGCCAUGGAGCCUUAUCCAGAGCUGUGGGCCUUCUGCAAGAAGCUGCUCAUCCUCUCCCACGGCCAAGCUACUGUUGAACGUGGAUUCUCCAUCAAUAAAGAGGUGGAGUCAGAUCAUUUGCAUGAGGACACUGUGGUCACACGGAGGCUGGUGUGUGACUACAUUAUACAACAUGGAGGUGUUACCAAGGUUCCACUCAGUAAACCACUACUGACAAGUGUAGCAAGAGCAAGGACAAGGUAUCGUAUCCACCUUGAGAACGAAAGAAAGAAGAGGGAGGCAAAAGACCAGGCUCUCAAGAGGAAGGAGGCAGAGGACUGUCUGCAGGAGCUGAAGGUGAAGAGGAUACGCGUAAAGGAGGUAUCUGAGGGUCUGGCUAGGGAUGCGGACAGGCUGGCUGAGCAGGCUGAAGCAAAGGCAGGGAGCAAAAUGGCUGACCUGAUCUCCAGGUCCAACCUCCUGCGGAGAGGCCAUAAGGAGAAGUUGGCAGAACUGGCUCUCCUUGAUAAAGAGAUUGCUGCUAAAAGUGAAGAGCUUAGGAGUUGACUUUGAUCUUUAUUUUAUUUAUUGUUGAGUUGAUUUUCUUUGUUUGUUGUUCUGGAGUCUCUACUCCCCAUAUUCCCAGCAUGGAAUAAGCUAGCUAAUAAAUAGAUUUGUCACACCUCUGUUUGACUUGUUGUCUGUGGUCUGUGCUGUGAUGCUGUGGUGUUGUACUCACUAUUCACUACUGUGCUGCAAGUUACAUAAUUCUUCCAUAAGGCUUUACAGUCCACAUUUUCACAUUUGUUUGAGAAA